rnacentral:rRNA from 1 species
UGGGGAAUUUUGGACAAUGGGCGAAAGCCUGAUCCAGCCAUGCCGCGUGCAGGAUGAAGGCCUUCGGGUUGUAAACUGCUUUUGUACGGAACGAAAAGCCUCUUUCUAAUAAAGAGGGGUCAUGACGGUACCGUAAGAAUAAGCACCGGCUAACUACGUGCCAGCAGCCGCGGUAAUACGUAGGGUGCAAGCGUUAAUCGGAAUUACUGGGCGUAAAGCGUGCGCAGGCGGUUUUGUAAGACAGAGGUGAAAUCCCCGGGCUCAACCUGGGAACUGCCUUUGUGACUGCAAGGCUGGAGUGCGGCAGAGGGGGAUGGAAUUCCGCGUGUAGCAGUGAAAUGCGUAGAUAUGCGGAGGAACACCGAUGGCGAAGGCAAUCCCCUGGGCCUGCACUGACGCUCAUGCACGAAAGCGUGGGGAGCAAACAG